rnacentral:rRNA from 1 species
CAAGUCGGACGGGAUUGGGGAGCUUGCUCCCCAUGAGAGUGGCGCACGGGUGCGUAACACGUAUGUAACCUACCUUAGUCAGGGGGAUAGCCUCUCGAAAGAGAGAUUAACACCGCAUAACAUAAUGAUAUGGCAUCAUAUUAUUAUCAAAUAUUUAUAGGACUAAGAUGGGCAUGCGGAACAUUAGCUAGUUGGUAAGGUAACGGCUUACCAAGGCUACGAUGUUUAGGGGAUCUGAGAGGAUGACCCCCCACACUGGUACUGAGACACGGACCAGACUCCUACGGGAGGCAGCAGUAAGGAAUAUUGGUCAAUGGACGCAAGUCUGAACCAGCCAUGCCGCGUGCAGGAAGACGGCCCUACGGGUUGUAAACUGCUUUUGUACCGGAAUAAACCCUUUUACGUGUAAGAGGCUGAAUGUACGGUAAGAAUAAGGAUCGGCUAACUCCGUGCCAGCAGCCGCGGUAAUACGGAGGAUCCAAGCGUUAUCCGGAUUUAUUGGGUUUAAAGGGUGCGUAGGCGGCCUAUUAAGUCAGGGGUGAAAGACGGUAGCUCAACUAUCGCAGUGCCUUUGAUACUGAUGGGCUUGAAUGUACUUGAGGUAGGCGGAAUGUGACAAGUAGCGGUGAAAUGCAUAGAUAUGUCACAGAACACCAAUUGCGAAGGCAGCUUACUAAAGUAUGAUUGACGCUGAGGCACGAAAGCGUGGGGAUCAAACAGGAUUAGAUACCCUGGUAGUCCACGCCCUAAACGAUGAACACUCGAUGUUGGCGAUAUACGGUCAGCGUCUAAGCGAAAGCGUUAAGUGUUCCACCUGGGGA